rnacentral:rRNA from 1 species
UCCUACGGGAGGCAGCAGUAGGGAAUCUUCCGCAAUGGACGAAAGUCUGACGGAGCAACGCCGCGUGAGUGAUGAAGGCUUUCGGGUCGUAAAACUCUGUUGUUAGGGAAGAACAAGUGCUAGUUGAAUAAGCUGGCACCUUGACGGUACCUAACCAGAAAGCCACGGCUAACUACGUGCCAGCAGCCGCGGUAAUACGUAGGUGGCAAGCGUUAUCCGGAAUUAUUGGGCGUAAAGCGCGCGCAGGUGGUUUCUUAAGUCUGAUGUGAAAGCCCACGGCUCAACCGUGGAGGGUCAUUGGAAACUGGGAGACUUGAGUGCAGAAGAGGAAAGUGGAAUUCCAUGUGUAGCGGUGAAAUGCGUAGAGAUAUGGAGGAACACCAGUGGCGAAGGCGACUUUCUGGUCUGUAACUGACACUGAGGCGCGAAAGCGUGGGGAGCAAACAGGAUUAGAUACCCUGGUAGUCCACGCCGUAAACGAUGAGUGCUAAGUGUUAGAGGGUUUCCGCCCUUUAGUGCUGGAGUUAACGCAUUAAGCACUCCGCCUGGGGAGUACGGCCGCAAGGCUGAAACUCAAAGGAAUU